GACAGAGGCCUCAAGCGUUAGGCGGAAUCACUGGGCUUAAAGCGUGUGUAGGCGGAUCGUUAAGUGCCUUGUGAAAUCCCACGGCUCACCCGUGGAACUGCUGGGCAUACUGGCGGUCUUGAGCCACCUAGGGGCAACCGGAACAAACGGUGGAGCGGUGAAAUGCGUAGAUAUCGUUUGGAACGCCAAUGGUGAAAAACAGGUUGCUGGGGGGUGUGCUGACGCUGAGACACGAAAGCCAGGGGAGCGAACGGG
rnacentral:rRNA from 1 species